UACGUAGGGUGCGAGCGUUAAUCGGAAUUACUGGGCGUAAAGGGCGCGUAGGCGGCCACUGCAAGUCGGUUGUGAAAUCUCCGGGCUUAACCCGGAAAGGUCAACCGAUACUGCAGGGCUAGAGUGCAGAAGGGGCAACUGGAAUUCUCGGUGUAGCGGUGAAAUGCGUAGAUAUCGAGAGGAACACCUGCGGCGAAGGCGGGUUGCUGGGGCUGACACUGACGUGAUGCGCGAAAGCUAGGGGGAGCGAACGGG
rnacentral:rRNA from 1 species